rnacentral:lncRNA from 1 species
UGGUAUGUGGUGUGUGUGUUGUGUGUGUGUGUGUGUGUGUGUGUGUGGUGUGUGUGUGUGUGUGUGUGUGUGUGUGUGUGUGUGUGUGUGUGUUGUGUGUGUGUUGUGUGUGUGUGUGUGUGUGUGUGUGUGCGUGUGUGUCUGUUGCCGUGUGUGUGUUCCUCUGCAGAUGAAGAACAGGAGUAUAGGCUGGCUGCUGGGUGUUUAGGAGUGCUGUGUGUUCUACAAGUCACUCUCAACAUCUCCCUGAGGCUGGCUUUCUCCGGUUCUAACGAAGAGAGGAACCAGUUAGAGGCCUGUUACAACACCCUGGCUACAGAAAGGGACAGGUUGAGUGGCAUGGUCAGUGUUCUGACCUAUGAUAAGGUGAUUCUGCAGAAGAGGCUCUCUGGGUGUGUGUGCACUUGUUCACUUCCCUUCAUGGAUUUAAACAGACAUGACAGGUACUGGAAGAGGGGUGGAAGGGAGAUACAUGGCAGUCCCAACGAUGAGGACUGUGUUAAAGUGUCCUAAAGGAUGGAGGAUGUUGGGAUCCAGCUGCUACUUCCUUUCUACUGAGAUGAAAAACCUGGCAGGAGAGCAGACUGGACUGUUUUGAGAGAGGAGCAGACCUGGUGAUCCUAAACAUGAAGAGGAAAAGGUAGAGAGAGAGAGAGAGAGAGAGAGAGAGGAGAGAGAGAGAGAGAGAGAGAGAGAGAGAGAGAGUUAAUUUUUAUGUUUAUUUCACUUUAUAAUUCACUUUAUAUAUUAUCUACCUCCCUUGCUUUGGCAAUUUAACACGUUUCCCAUGCCAAUAAAGCCCUUGAAUGAAUUGAAUUGAAUUGAGAGGAGAGAAGAGAGGAGAGCAGGGAGAAGCGAGGGAGACAGAGAGGAGAGCGGGAGACCUCACUGGAGAGAAUUGUACAUGAGCAAUGUAUGAAUAUGUUAACAAACAGGAUGGAUGUAUGACUUUCAGUCUGGUUUUAUAAAAACAUACUCCCCUGAUUCAUGUCUACUUUACUUGACUUCAUCAGGAAAGGAUUGAUGAGGGGAACUGUGUGGAAUGGUACUGCUGGA